rnacentral:rRNA from 1 species
CCUUGAAAUACCACCCUUUAAUGUUUGAUGUUCUAACGUUGACCCGUGAUCCGGGUUGCGGACAGUGUCUGGUGGGUAGUUUGACUGGGGCGGUCUCCUCCUAAAGAGUAACGGAGGAGCACGAAGGUUGGCUAAUCCUGGUCGGACAUCAGGAGGUUAGUGCAAUGGCAUAAGCCAGCUUGACUGCGAGCGUGACGGCGCGAGCAGGUGCGAAAGCAGGUCAUAGUGAUCCGGUGGUUCUGAAUGGAAGGGCCAUCGCUCAACGGAUAAAAGGUACUCCGGGGAUAACAGGCUGAUACCGCCCAAGAGUUCAUAUCGACGGCGGUGUUUGGCACCUCGAUGUCGGCUCAUCACAUCCUGGGGCUGAAGUAGGUCCCAAGGGUAUGGCUGUUCGCCAUUUAAAGUGGUACGCGAGCUGGGUUUAGAACGUCGUGAGACAGUUCGGUCCCUAUCUGCCGUGGGCGCUGGAGAACUGAGGGGGGCUGCUCCUAGUACGAGAGGACCGGAGUGGACGCAUCACUGGUGUUCGGGUUGUCAUGCCAAUGGCACUGCCCGGUAGCUAAAUGCGGAAGAGAUAAGUGCUGAAAGCAUCUAAGCACGAAACUUGCCCCGAGAUGAGUUCUCCCUGACUCCUUGAGAGUCCUGAAGGAACGUUGAAGACGACGACGUUGAUAGGCCGGGUGUGUAAGCGC